rnacentral:rRNA from 1 species
AGAGUUUGAUCCUGGCUCAGGAUGAACGCUGGCGGCGUGCGUAACACAUGCAAGUUGGACGACGGUGCCAUGAAGUGGAAACGCGGAGUGGUAUACGGAGUAGCGGACGGGUGAGUACAACAUGAGAAGCUGUCCUUCAGCGGGGGGCAACGUCUGGAAGCGGACGCUAAUACCCCAUAGGCCGAGAGGUUAAAGCAGAGAUGCGCUGGAGGAGGUGCUCGUGCCCUAUCAGCUAGUUGGUGAGGUAACGGCUCACCAAGGCGACGACGGGUAGCCGGCCUGAGAGGGUGAACGGCCACACUGGAACUGAGAUACGGUCCAGACUCCUACGGGAGGCAGCAGUGGGGAAUAUUGGGCAAUGGGAGGAAUCCUGACCCAGCGACGCCGCGUGAACGAAGACGGCCUUCGGGUUGUAAAGUUCUUUUAUGUGGGAAGAAGGAAGUGACGGUACCACAUGAAUAAGCCCCGGCUAACUACGUGCCAGCAGCCGCGGUAAUACGUAGGGGGCGAGCGUUGUCCGGAAUUACUGGGCGUAAAGGGCACGCAGGCUGUGCUUCAAGUCAGCUGUAAAAGGAUGCGGCUUAACCGUGUUAUGCGGCUGAGACUGAGGUGCUGGAGUACCGGAGAGGCAAGUGGAAUUCCCAGUGUAGCGGUGAAAUGCGUAGAUAUUGGGAAGAACAUCGGUGGCGAAGGCGACUUGCUGGACGGUAACUGACGCUGAGGUGCGAAAGCCAGGGUAGCGAACGGGAUUAGAUACCCCGGUAGUCCUGGCUGUAAACGAUGAAUGCUAGGUGUGCGAGCAGAGAUGUUGGUGUGCCGCAGUUAACGCGAUAAGCAUUCCGCCUGGGGAGUACGGUCGCAAGAUUGAAACUCAAAGGAAUUGACGGGGGCCCGCACAAGCGGUGGAGCACGUGGUUUAAUUCGAUGCAAACCGAAGAACCUUACCUGGGUUUGACAUGUAUGUGGUAGGAGAUGGAAACAUUGACGACGCUGCUUUCGGGCAGUGAGCAUACACAGGUGCUGCAUGGCUGUCGUCAGCUCGUGUCGUGAGAUGUUGGGUUAAGUC